CUUAUCGUGAGGUAAGGGCUGGAGGAAGCGUGGAAUAAAAUCUUGGCUCGACGAACAGAAAUCUGAUACUAAGGCACUACAAAGGGAUAAGGCUCCCAGACAAGUCAAAGUCCAAAAGGUGUGCGUAACUUUGUAGGGGUAAAUCAGGCGAGUAAAAGAGGAAAGAUAGUUUGU
rnacentral:ncRNA from 1 species